CGAUUCUGGCUCAGGAUGAACGCUGGCGGCGUGCUUAACACAUGCAAGUCGAACGGAGUAAUACAAGGUCUCGGACCGAGUGUACUAGUGGCGGACGGGUGAGUAACACGUGGGUAACCUACCUUAUACAGGGGGAUAACAGUCGGAAACGAUUGCUAACACCGCAUAACAUAGCAAGGUCGCAUGAGCUUGCUAUCAAAAUAUGCAAAUCCAAAAGGAUUUGGAAUUGGUAUAAGAUGGGCCCGCGUCUGAUUAGCUAGUUGGUAAGGUAAUGGCUUACCAAGGCGACGAUCAGUAGCCGGCUUGAGAGAGUGACCGGCCACAUUGGGACUGAGACACGGCCCAAACUCCUACGGGAGGCAGCAGUGGGGAAUAUUGGACAAUGGGGGCAACCCUGAUCCAGCGACGCCGCCGUGAGUGAAGAAGUAUUUCGGUAUGUAAAGCUCUAUCAGCAGGGAAGAAAGAGAACGUAAGUUCUCGUGACGGUACCUGACUAAGAAGCCCCGGCUGACUACGUGCCAGCAGCCGC
rnacentral:rRNA from 1 species